GUGCUUCUUGUAACUGGAUUAAAUCGGAAGUUUGGGAUUAGUGAUGAGUGGUUUUCUAUUGGUGAUUCAUUAAUCAUCGCAGUCCUUGGUCAGGCUUCAUUUAUGCCAGUCUUGGUGUUAGCUGCAAAACUGUGCCCUCCAGGAAUGGAAGCCACUUUAUUUGCAACUUUGAUGUCCAUUUCUAAUGCUCGAAGUGUUACUGGUGGUCUGGUUGGUGCUGGUCUAACUCGGAUAUUUGGGGUCACCAGGGACACCUUUGGGAACCUACCUCUAUUGAUUGUCGUCUGCAAUCUUAGUUCGCUGCUACCCUUACCUCUUUUAGGUCUCCUGCUAGAGGAAUCAGGUGACACAGACAAUGGAGAAACAAAGAAUAUCUGACUUGCUGAGGGUUUCAUCUCUGUUUGUUCUGAUUCUCAAGUAUAGCAUACCACAAUGCGCAGCUUCAACUCAGAUAUGAUCCAUCCAGUUGAAGUUCAAAAGAUCAGUGGGAAAAUAUGGAAAUCAUACUGGAGAUAAGUUCAGUUAGUCACCACCACCAUCAGCCAGUAUCUCCUGCGACUAUUAACCUGUGAUCAAAGCGAUUCAUUGGUGAUCUAUGAUGGCGCACAGGUAAUCACCACUUUUUUUAGUUUAUAUAAGCUACCUUGCAUACAAAGGCAAGGUCGUUUUAUCUUUCUCUAUAUUCUUUGAGUUUUUGUUAGCUAAUGCUGCGACCCCAUGAAAACUAGAGUAGGGGUCAAAGACUAGUAGUUGAGGAUUCCCUUACAAAGUCGAAUGUAUUGUAACCAA